UACGAAGGGAGCUAGCGUUGUUCGGAAUCACUGGGCGUAAAGCGCACGUAGGCGGAUGUGUCAGUCAGGGGUGAAAUCCCGGAGCUCAACUUCGGAACUGCCUUUGAUACAGCACAUCUGGAGUCCGGAAGAGGUGGGUGGAAUUCCUAGUGUAGAGGUGAAAUUCGUAGAUAUUAGGAAGAACACCGGUGGCGAAGGCGGCCCGCUGGUCCGGUACUGACGCUGAGGUGCGAAAGCGUGGGGAGCAAACAGG
rnacentral:rRNA from 1 species